ACCUGAAAAAGCUCGCGAACCAUCCUUGCUCCUUCACCAACGUAUUUCUGAACAAGCUCGCUUCCAAUAACUCUAAUGAAACAAGCAUCAGUUCUAUUAGCCACUGCUCUAGCUAAAAGUGUUUUCCCAGUUCCAGGAGGACCAUAGCAGAGAACACCUUUAGGAGGAUCAAUUCCAAGCUUCACAAAUUUCUCAGGGUGAAGCAUGGGUAGUUCAACAACCUAUGACAGGUUCAAACAUAUCAGCAUCAGAUAUAUGAAUUUAGACAUGUAGUCAUACACAUCAAACAUGUAAAAAGAAAUUGAAUAUAAAAAGGCAAUUUGCAGCCCCCAAAAAAUGAUAUAAUAUAAACAUAUAAGGAGGGAGCUUUAUAUACUUCUCGCAUCUUUUCAAUCUGCUCCUUACAUCCACCAACGUCAUUAUAUGUCACAUCAGGUUUCUCUUCCACUGUCAUCAUUGUCACACUUGGAUCAAUUUUUGGAGGCAAGGGAAUCUGUAUCUGAUACUUGUUGCGAUCUACGCUGCAAUGAAAAGACAUAUACAGUGAAUACAUUCACCACCAAACCAGUGAAUGCUUAUGGAUAUGAGAACAAAAUUUAUAAAUAAGAAAGGAGAAAAAUGGCAUUGGCCAAAGUUAUGUUUCCACGGGCAUCAAAACCAUCAAGCUGAUUCACAAUUUCAAGCAUUGUACGCUGGACUUCAUUGUCUCCACCCACACCAUCGUCAAAACGUGCACCACCUAUAGCAUCAACUUCAUCAAAGAAUACAAUGCAAGCCUUCUUUGAACGUGCCAUCUGCAGCAGAAAUAUUUUAGCUCAAGUAAAGAUGCAUAGUUCCAGUAUUGAGUAAACAUGCAAAUAAAUAAUGAAUGACAAGAACAUGUAAAUUGUUAACAUGCAGCUUUAACCUGAAAAAGCUCGCGAACCAUCCUUGCUCCUUCACCAACGUAUUUCUGAACAAGCUCGCUUCCAAUAACUCUAAUGAAACAAGCAUCAGUUCUAUUAGCCACUGCUCUAGCUAAAAGUGUUUUCCCAGUUCCAGGAGGACCAUAGCAGAGAACACCUUUAGGAGGAUCAAUUCCAAGCUUCACAAAUUUCUCAGGGUGAAGCAUGGGUAGUUCAACAACCUAUGACAGGUUCAAACAUAUCAGCAUCAGAUAUAUGAAUUUAGACAUGUAGUCAUACACAUCAAACAUGUAAAAAGAAAUUGAAUAUAAAAAGGCAAUUUGCAGCCCCCAAAAAAUGAUAUAAUAUAAACAUAUAAGGAGGGAGCUUUAUAUACUUCUCGCAUCUUUUCAAUCUGCUCCUUACAUCCACCAACGUCAUUAUAUGUCACAUCAGGUUUCUCUUCCACUGUCAUCAUUGUCACACUUGGAUCAAUUUUUGGAGGCAAGGGAAUCUGUAUCUGAUACUUGUUGCGAUCUACGCUGCAAUGAAAAGACAUAUACAGUGAAUACAUUCACCACCAAACCAGUGAAUGCUUAUGGAUAUGAGAACAAAAUUUAUAAAUAAGAAAGGAGAAAAAUGGCAUUGGCCAAAGUGGGGAAGGAAAUAACAUAAAAUGGUAAAACACAUAACCAAAACUCAUAUAGCAUAGUUUAUGGUCUGAUAGAGGCAGUGUGCAGUCAAAUUCUUGAUU
rnacentral:lncRNA from 1 species